rnacentral:rRNA from 1 species
GAAAGUAAACAAGGGCGCAUGGAGGAUGCCUAGGCUCUCGGAGGCGAAGAAGGACGUGAUAAGCUGCGAAAAGUUACGGUAAGGCGCAAAUAGCCGUAGACCCGUAAAUAUCCGAAUGGGGCAACCCGGCCAGCAAUGGCCAUACCGCCAAGCGGUAAGCCAACGCGGGGAACUGAAACAUCUAAGUACCCGCAGGAAAAGAAAAUAACCAUGAUUCCGCAAGUAGUGGCGAGCGAACGCGGAACAGCCCAAACCACCCGUGUUACGGCACGGGUGGGGUAGAAGGAUCCACGCUACGGCAAGAAAUAAGUUAGCAGAAUACGAUGGAAAUCGUAGCCAAAGACGGUGACAGCCCAGUACGCGAAAACCGACAGAAGCCCAGUGGACACCUGAGUAACCCAGGACACGAGAAAUCCGGGGCGAAUCAGCGGGGCCCAUCCCGUAAGGCUAAAUACUCCCGAGAGACCGAUAGCGAACCAGUACUGUGAAGGAAAGGUGAAAAGAACCUCGAACAGAGGAGUGAAACAGACCCUGAAACCAUGCGCCUACAAGCGGUCGGAGCAUGUUAAAAUGUGACGGCGUGCCUUUUGCAUAAUGAACCUACGAGUUACUCUCGCUGGCAAGGUUAAGCGAUUCAGUCGCGUAGCCGAAGCGAAAGCAAGUCCGAAUAAGGCGUACAGUCAGCGGGAGUAGACGCGAAACCAAGUGAUCUACCCUUGGUCAGGUUGAAGGUUGGGUAACACCAACUGGAGGACCGCACCGAUAAGCGUUGAAAAGCUUACGGAUGAACUGAGGGUAGGAGUGAAAGGCCAAUCAAACUUGGAGAUAGCUCGUACUCCCCGAAAUGCAUUUAGGUGCAGCCUCGAAGCAAAGUGAUAGAGGUAGAGCGACUGAUAAGAUGCGAGGGCUUCACCGCCUAUCAAGUCUUGACAAACUCCGAAUGCGCAUCAGUUCUACCGCAGGAGUGAGGGCAUGGGUGCUAAGGUCCGUGCCCGAGAGGAGAAGAAUCCGGACCACCUGCUAAGGUCCCGAAAUAACAGCUAAGUUAAACUAACGAAGUCAGAUUGCUAAGACAGCUAGGAUGUUGGCUUGGAAGCAGCCAUUCAUUUAAAGAGUGCGUAACAGCUCACUAGUCGAGGAGUUUUGCAUGGAUAAUAAUCGGGCAUAAGCCCUUUACCGAAGCUGUGGAUGUCGCAAGACAUGGUAGGGGAGCAUUCCGGCGGCGACGAAGGCCGUCCUCGAGGACGACUGGAGCUUUCGGAAAAGCAAAUGUAGGUAUAAGUAACGAUAAAGGGGGCGCGAAACCCCCUCGCCAUAAGACUAAGGAUUCCUGAUCAACGCUAAUCGGAUCAGGGUAAGUCGGGCCCUAAGGCGCAGCCGAACGGCGUAGCCGAUGGAAGAAACGGUAAAGAUUCCGUUACUGGAUAUAGGAGCGAUGUGGAGACGGAGAAGUGACACACCCGCCUGCCGACGGAAGCGCAGGUUAAAGGAAGUAGGUAAACGCCGGGUAGGCAAAUCCGCCUGGCGUGCCGAAACUGACAGUAUCGAGAGCCCCCGGGCAAUCGAAUAGCGGUGGUAAUCAGGCUCCCAAGAAAAUCCGCUAAGCAUAUUCUAUAUCCACCCGUACCCCAAACGGACACACGUAGUCGGGUAGAAUAUACCAAGGCGCUCGAAAGACUCACGGUUAAGGAACUAGGCAAAUUGACCCUGUAACCUCGGGAAAAAGGGUCCCCAGUAAGAUGGGGCGCAGAGAAUAGGUCCAGGCAACUGUUUAACAAAAACACAGGGCUGUGCAAAAUUUAGAGAUGAAGUAUACAGCCUGACACCUGCCCGGUGCCGGAAGGUUAAGAGGAGAGCUUAUCGCAAGAGAAGGCUUGAAUUGAAGCCCCGGUAAACGGCGGCCGUAACUAUAACGGUCCUAAGGUAGCGAAAUUCCUUGUCGGGU